UCUUACGGCCAUACCAGCCUGAAUACGCCCGAUCUCGUCUGAUCUCGGAAGCUAAGCAGGGUCGGGCCUGGUUAGUACUUGGAUGGGAGACCGCCUGGGAAUACCAGGUGCUGUAAGCA
ensembl:rRNA 5S_rRNA 5S ribosomal RNA